rnacentral:rRNA from 1 species
AAGAAAUCAACAGAGAUUACCUCAGUAACGGCGAGUGAAGCGGCAAGAGCUCAAAUUUGAAAGCUGGCCCCCUCGGGGUCCGCGUUGUAAUUUGCAGAGGAUGCUUCGGGUGCAGCCCCCGUCUAAGUGCCCUGGAACGGGCCGUCAUAGAGGGUGAGAAUCCCGUCUGGGACGGGGUGUCUGCGUCCGUGUGAAGCUCCUUCGACGAGUCGAGUUGUUUGGGAAUGCAGCUCUAAAUGGGAGGUAAAUUUCUUCUAAAGCUAAAUAUUGGCCAGAGACCGAUAGCGCACAAGUAGAGUGAUCGAAAGAUGAAAAGCACUUUGGAAAGAGAGUUAAAAAGCACGUGAAAUUGUUAAAAGGGAAGGGAUUGCAACCAGACUU